UAUUUUUUUUACACAAAUAAUAAACAUUUGAGUCCAAUGUUAGGAUUUUUCUGAACAAAAUCGCCUCUAACCUUGUCUUCUUCCCCGUCUAUCUCCUUCUCUAUUCUGAACAAAAUCGCCCCACAGCCGCUGCUCUCCAUCUCCACUCCGCCGGUCGUCCAUCGUCAAUCGCUGUCCCGUAUCCAGCUGUAGUCGCUUGCCGCUCGCCUCCAUCGUCUUCCCCUGCAUUGCCUUCUCUGCUACUCUCGUCGCCGCUGCGCUAUUGUUUGCUGCCAUCGCCGUUCGCUCUCACCGGCGGUCUCGCCCGUCGCCCAUUGCCGCAAGCUCGCCUGUCAUUAGAUUUUUAGUAGUGCUCAUUGGAUGGUCAAGAAAGAAAUUAAAGAAAGCAGGAUUAGGGCCACAUCCAUCAAAGCAGGUAACUACAACUCUUCUCCUAACAUUAUUAAACACUGCUACAGCCUCCUUAGCAAAGAUAAAUGUACUCUCAAAAAUGGGGAAUAUGCCAAAACUGGGUUAGCUAAAAUAGAACGAUGGUGGGCAGACAACAGAAGAGUAUGUUGGUUCCUCUUGGGAUGACUUAAAACAUGCAAGGCAUGCUGUAGGAUUCUUGAUAUUGAGGAAGCUUGAAGAAAGAGGAGGUGAUUUAGAUCGUUUACAAGAGAUGGAUGAGAAAGAAAUUGGAGCUCUGAUUCGUUUUGCACCUAUGAUGUGGAUUUUGGUAGAGGUAUUUUCUUUUAGAAUACUUUCAACAGUGGGCUUGCAUUUUAUUUUCUAGCACUAUGAUGUGGACAAAUUUUUA